CAGGCCUAACACAUGCAAGUCGAACGAUGUCUUUCGGGGCAUAGUGGCGCACGGGUGCGUAACGCGUGGGAAUCUGCCCUUAGGUUCGGAAUAACCGUUGGAAACGACGGCUAAUACCGGAUGAUGACGUUAAGUCCAAAGAUUUAUCGCCUGAGGAUGAGCCCGCGUAGGAUUAGCUAGUUGGUGUGGUAAGAGCGCACCAAGGCGACGAUCCUUAGCUGGUCUGAGAGGAUGAUCAGCCACACUGGGACUGAGACACGGCCCAGACUCCUACGGGAGGCAGCAGUGGGGAAUAUUGGACAAUGGGCGAAAGCCUGAUCCAGCAAUGCCGCGUGAGUGAUGAAGGCCUUAGGGUUGUAAAGCUCUUUUACCCGGGAUGAUAAUGACAGUACCGGGAGAAUAAGCUCCGGCUAACUCCGUGCCAGCAGCCGCGGUAAU
rnacentral:rRNA from 1 species